rnacentral:rRNA from 1 species
UACGUAGGGUGCAAGCGUUAAUCGGAAUUACUGGGCGUAAAGCGUGCGCAGGCGGUUUUGUAAGUCUGUCGUGAAAUCCCCGGGCUCAACCUGGGAAUUGCGAUGGAGACUGCAAGGCUAGAAUCUGGCAGAGGGGGGUAGAAUUCCACGUGUAGCAGUGAAAUGCGUAGAGAUGUGGAGGAACACCGAAUGGCGAAGGCAGCCCCCUGGGUCAAGAUUGACGCUCAUGCACGAAAGCGUGGGGAGCAA